UACGUAGGGACCAAGCGUUGUUCGGAUUUACUGGGCGUAAAGGGCGCGUAGGCGGCUUAACAAGUCACUUGUGAAAUCUCCGGGCUUAACUCGGAACGGCCAAGUGAAACUGUCAAGCUAGAGUGCAGAAGGGGCAAUCGGAAUUCUUGGUGUAGCGGUGAAAUGCGUAGAUAGUCAAGAGGAACACCUGAGGUGAAGACGGGUGCUGGGCUGACACUGACGCUGAGCGCGAAGCCAGGGAGCAAACGGG
rnacentral:rRNA from 1 species